CCUGUUUAUCAAAAACAUAGCUUCUUGAAACCAUAAGAAGUACCACCUGCCCAGUGUAUUAUAAACGGCCGCGAAAGUGCUAAGGUAGCAUAAUAAUUUGUCUUUUCAUUGAAGACUAGUAUGAAAGGUAUAACGAAGCUUAACUGUCUCCUUAUUUUAAAACAAAACUAAUUUAAAAGUGAAAAAGCUUUUAAGCAGGACGAGAAGACCCUAUAGAGUUUUAGUAAAAAUUAAUAUUUUAUUAAUUAUACUUUUAUUGGGGCAAUACAAGAAAAAUAAAAAUCUUUAUAUUUAUAAACCCUCAAAGAGAACAAAAAAAACUACCUUAGGGAUAACAGCGUAAUCUUACCAGAGAGUCCUAAUUGAAGGUAAGGAUUGCGACCUCGAUGUUGGACUAAGGAAACUUUUAUAUGUAGAAGUAUAAAGUAGUAAGCCUGUUCGGCUUUUAAAACCUUACAUGAUCUGAGUUCAGACCGGAAU
rnacentral:rRNA from 1 species